rnacentral:rRNA from 1 species
UACGUAGGGGGCAAGCGUUGUCCGGAUUUAUUGGGCGUAAAGAGCGUGUAGGCGGCCAGGUAGGUCGGUUGUGAAAACUGGAGGCUCAACCUUCAGAGGUCGACCGAAACCAUCUGGCUAGAGUCCGGGAGAGGAGAGUGGAAUUCCUGGUGUAGCGGUGAAAUGCGCAGAUAUCAGGAAGAACACCCGUGGCGAAAGCGGCUCUCUGGGAACGGUACUGACGCUGAGACGCGAAAGCGUGGGGAGCGAACAGG